GCAGGAUAUACCCUAGCAUACCUAGAGGGAAUUCAUAUGGGGCAAAAAUUCAUCAUCAAGUUCUUGAAUGAAGUUCCUUCCUGGCCAGAGGUACAGAAUCACUUACCUGUAAGGGGUUAAUCAGUUCAAUUAACCUAGUUGGCACCUGACCAGAAGGACCAAUGGGGGAAAGAAGAUACUUUCAAACCUGGAGGGAGGUGGUGUUUGUGCUCUGUUUGUUGGUUCCCUCUCAGGACAAAGAGAGAGACCAAGCAGGUAACCUAGCUCCUAAAAAGACCCUGAACUGAUACAUCUAAAAAUUACAGAAUUGUCAUUUUUAUGGUUGUAAAUAUGUAUAGUCCAACCAUAAAUCUUGAGAUUUUGGAGGCAGUUGAAAACUUCUUUCUGUAGCCUGAGUCUCAGACCAAAAGCCUAAGGGAUUAGCUGAAUGGACCUAGUUCAGUUUAAAGCACAGGUCAGUCUUUGUUUGGAAAUCAAACAUUCUUCCUGAUCUGGAGCAACAAAUGUCAGUUUUGAUAGCUGAACGAAGGCCAAAUGGAUUGAAGCUAGAUCCUUCCUUCUCUCCAAAACAACGCUUAACUAUUCCUCCCAUUGUGAUGGUAAUCAAUGCCCCACUUAGCACCAGUAGGACUGGUACAUGAACUUGCCCUUUACUUACUACUGUACCCCCUUUCCUUAUAUAAGCACGGAUUGCCUUCUAUCCAAUAGGCUUUUAUAACCAGUGCUGGUGGGCAAAAUGUGAAAAAAAUCCUGUAACAGGAGACUGGUA